AAACUACUCAAGAGCUAUAAGAAAAAUGAGAACUCAAGGCUAUGUUAUAACAAGUAUUCAAAAUGAUUUUCAUAUUCAGGAGAUUUAAGGUCUUAAAACGAUACCGAUCUUGUGAACUUUUCCCAAGUCUCUACAAACCAACCUCAAAUUAUUCUAUAGCCUAAAACUUUCAACAAAAAUGCAAUUUUUUUUUGAAAGAAAACAAAAACAAAACAAAGCAAAGAACAAAAACAAAGAAAAUAAAGUAUUCCCUCCCCCACACUUAAAAUAUGCAUUGUCCUCAAUGAAAGAAACAAACAUAAAAUAAGAGAGAGAAGAGAGAGGAAAGAACACACCCGAGUAGUCAAGGAGGAUAGGUGAUCACAUAA
rnacentral:lncRNA from 1 species